UCUUCAAUAACUCAAUAGGUUAGAGUAGCCGCUUGAUCAGCGGAGAGUUGAUGGUUCAAAUCCAUCUUGAAGAG
rnacentral:tRNA from 1 species